UACAGAGGUCUCAAGCGUUGUUCGGAUUCAUUGGGCGUAAAGGGUGCGUAGGCGGCGCGGUAAGUCGGGUGUGAAAUCUCGGGGCUUAACUCCGAAACUGCAUUCGAUACUGCCGUGCUUGAGGACUGGAGAGGAGACUGGAAUUUACGGUGUAGCGGUGAAAUGCGUAGAUAUCGUAAGGAAGACCAGUGGCGAAGGCGGGUCUCUGGACAGUUCUUGACGCUGAGGCACGAAGGUCAGGGGAGCAAACGGG
rnacentral:rRNA from 1 species